AUUGAACGCUGGCGGAAUGCUUUACACAUGCAAGUCGAACGGCAGCACGGGGGCAACCCUGGUGGCGAGUGGCGAACGGGUGAGUAAUACACCGGAACGUGCCCAGUCGUGGGGGAUAACGUAGCGAAAGUUACGCUAAUACCGCAUACGAUCUACGGAUGAAAGCGGGGGACCGUAAGGCCUCGCGCGAUUGGAGCGGCCGAUGUCAGAUUAGGUAGUUGGUGAGGUAAAGGCUCACCAAGCCGACGAUCUGUAGCUGGUCUGAGAGGACGACCAGCCAGACUGGGACUGAGACACGGCCCAGACUCCUACGGGAGGCAGCAGUGGGGAAUUUUGGACAAUGGGCGCAAGCCUGAUCCAGCCAUUCCGCGUGCAGGACGAAGGCCUUCGGGUUGUAAACUGCUUUUGUACGGAACGAAAAGGCUCUGGUUAAUACCUGGGGCUCAUGACGGUACCGUAAGAAUAAGCACCGGCUAACUACGUGCCAGCCGCCGCGGUAA
rnacentral:rRNA from 1 species